rnacentral:rRNA from 1 species
UACAGAGGGUGCAAGCGUUGUUCGGAAUUAUUGGGCGUAAAGAGCUCGUAGGCGGUCUGUCGCGUCUGCUGUGAAAACUCGGGGCUUAACCCCGGGCCUGCAGUGGGUACGGGCAGACUAGAGUGCGGUAGGGGAGACUGGAAUUCCUGGUGUAGCGGUGAAAUGCGCAGAUAUCAGGAGGAACACCGGUGGCGAAGGCGGGGUCUCUGGGCCGUAACUGACGCUGAGGAGCGAAAAGCGUGGGGGAGCGAACAGG